rnacentral:rRNA from 1 species
AUUGAACGCUGGCGGCAGGCUUAACACAUGCAAGUCGAGCGAGUGGCGGACGGGUGAGUAAUGUCUCGGAAACUGCCCGGUGGAGGGGGAUAACUACUGGAAAGGGUAGCUAAUACCGCAUACUAUCAGAUGUGCCCAGAUGGGAUUAGCUAGUAGGUGGGGUAACGGCUCACCAAGGCGACGAUCCCUAGCUGGUCUGAGAGGAUGACCAGCCACACUGGGACUGAGACACGGUCCAGACUCCUACGGGAGGCAGCAGUGGGGAAUAUUGGACAAUGGGCGCAAGCCUGAUGCAGCCAUGCCGCGUGUGUGAAGAAGGCCUUCGGGUUGUAAAGCACUUUCAGCGAGGAGGCGGUACUCGCAGAAUAAGCACCGGCUAACUCCGUGCCAGCAGCCGCGGUAAUUC